rnacentral:tRNA from 1 species
GAGGGGUUGGUGCAAGGGAUAGCACGGGGUUUUCCUAAAACCUAGAUGGUAGUUCGAGUCUGCCACACCUUA